AGACACGGACGGCGGCGCG
rnacentral:misc_RNA from 1 species